UACUGAAAUGAUGUUUUAUCACAUGUUAGACUACUGAUAUGAAAUGUUGACAUUUUUAUUACUGAUCAGUA